rnacentral:lncRNA from 1 species
CAGGAGAGGAGGGAGUGAGAGCUGCUGUUUCAUUUAAGGACAUCUGGGGAUAGAGGCCUUCAGCCCUGUGCUGGCUUGAUAUGAUGGUAAAAUUUGGUUACAGAAUGAUCAGUUUCUGCUGUCUAAGAAGUCUAAUAAUUAAUCUUGUGGUAUACCAGGCAAGCUAAGUGUGUAGAGCAUGACCCCAAGGAAGGAAACACUCACAUUUGUAUAGCAGCUCCUGAGAAGAGGCAAGAAGAUGUUGGAUGACCAAGUUGAUUCUUGGGCUGACUCCAGUUGCACGUUUCUCCUGUGGUUUUCUAUAAACACUAUCUAGUCUGCAAGAAAGAGACAUGAUGGUGAGGGGAAGAAAUGUGUUGCACAGGGGAGGGGUGUGAAGACUGCUGUAUAUGGAAAGGAACCAAGGAGUAGGAAAGAUAGAGGAUCAUAGCAAUAGAGCUGAAAGUCACCUCAAAAGUUAUUUUGUAAUUCCU